rnacentral:rRNA from 1 species
GAGUGGCGAACUGGUGAGUAACACGUGUGUAACCUGCCCUUGAAGUAGGGGAUAACACUUGGAAACAGGUGCUAAUACCGUAUAACAACCAAAACCACCUGGUUUUGGUUUAAAAGAUGGCUUCGGCUAUCACUUUAGGAUGGACCCGCGGCGUAUUAGCUUGUUGGUAAGGUAACGGCCUACCAAGGCAAUGAUACGUAGCCGACCUGAGAGGGUAAUCGGCCACAUUGGGACUGAGACACGGCCCAAACUCCUACGGGAGGCAGCAGUAGGGAAUCUUCCACAAUGGACGAAAGUCUGAUGGAGCAACGCCGCGUGAGUGAUGAAGGGUUUCGGCUCGUAAAACUCUGUUGUUGGAGAAGAACAGGUGUGAGAGUAACUGUUCACAUCUUGACGGUAUCCAACCAGAAAGCCACGGCUAACUACGUGCCAGCAGCCGCGGUAAUACGUAGGUGGCAAGCGUUGUCCGGAUUUAUUGGGCGUAAAGCGAGCGCAGGCGGUUUCUUAGGUCUGAUGUGAAAGCCUUCGGCUUAACCGGAGAAGUGCAUCGGAAACCAGGAGACUUGAGUGCGGAAGAGGACAGUGGAACUCCAUGUGUAGCGGUGAAAUGCGUAGAUAUAUGGAAGAACACCAGUGGCGAAGGCGGCUGUCUGGUCUGUAACUGACGCUGAGGCUCGAAAGCAUGGGUAGCGAAAAGGAUUAGAUACCCUGGUAGUCCAUGCCGUAAACGAUGAGUGCU